GUGGGGAAUAUUGGACAAUGGGCGAAAGCCUGAUCCAGCCAUGCCGCGUGUGUGAAGAAGGUCUUCGGAUUGUAAAGCACUUUAAGUUGGGAGGAAGGGCAGUAAGUUAAUACCUUGCUGUUUUGACGUUACCAACAGAAUAAGCACCGGCUAACUUCGUGCCAGCAGCCGCGGUAAUACGAAGGGUGCAAGCGUUAAUCGGAAUUACUGGGCGUAAAGCGCGCGUAGGUGGUUCAGCAAGUUGAAGGUGAAAUCCCCGGGCUCAACCUGGGAACUGCCUCCAAAACUACUGAGCUAGAGUACGGUAGAGGGUAGUGGAAUUUCCUGUGUAGCGGUGAAAUGCGUAGAUAUAGGAAGGAACACCAGUGGCGAAGGCGACUACCUGGACUGAUACAGACACUGAGGUGCGAAAGCGUGGGGAGCAAACAGGAUUAGAAACCCUGGUAGUCC
rnacentral:rRNA from 1 species